GCGGUGAGGUGAGUGGGGCAGCAGGUAGGUCAGCAUCUCCACUGGGCCCAGCCCCAGGCCGGGAGUCGAUGACAUUCUAGCUUAAGAAUUACAUGGCAUUUCUGUCUUGGGCUCUUAUGAAGCCAGUGGACACAAUGACUAUUGGGCACCAGAGGUGAACCUUGGUCAUCAAUGUCGUUGUCCAGAUCGGCUGGGAUGGCGUGAGCCGAUGCUCCGUGGGUCCUGUCUGUGCUGUGCUUCCCAGGCCCCAUACCCCCUUGGGCUCUGCUUCCACUCACCAUCCCAUCCCCCGCCUUCUACAACCUGUCACUUCCCUUUCUCCUUUUGCAGAGCCUGCUGCGCUCUCUGGAUCCCAGUCCCUCCACCCACAUACAGCGCAAACAGCUCGUCAUUAAAGCCACAGGCACAUAAGACAGCUGCCCCUUGGGGUCUGCAAAGGCGUGUUUCCUAGAUGAGGCUAUAAGGAUUUUUCCUCUCCCUGUGCUUCAGUCCAGCAGCAGAUCCCUGUUGUUAGCAUGCAGGAGCCCGAGCUAAGCAGCAGGUGUCAGCGUCACUCAUUCUACAGCCUGCCAGCCAGGCAGGGUCAAGGUGAAGGUGGGCUAUGGGGCUGGCCAUGGUUCUGAAGCAGCCAGGGCAGCCUACCCAAAAGGACAGCAUCUUCUGUCUGGAGAGCUGCCCCUCACCAAAGAUGUGGGCCCCUGCAAUGCUGGGCUUUCUGCUUUCCAAUCAGCCCAGACUCCAUCAUUCCCAGGAAGGUAAAGGGGGUAAUUUCAGUUUCUCAAAUGCUAUGCAGGGUCCCUAACCAGCCAUCCACCCGCAGGAGCCACUGCCUGUCCCAGAGUGUGCCACAUGUGCAGCUUGGCCCUUGGUGUCCCUGUGGGCGACAGCUGCGGGAGCUGGAGGUACUGCGCUAUCUCCAGCAGAGCCUGGCCCCUGCUGUUGUAAUUGGGUUCAGCCUUCCCCUGCCAGCAGCGCUCACUGCAAAUCAUCCUUGGUGGCAUCUGGGGAGAGCAGUCACUGCUUCACCUCAAGCCCUUGGCACCUCCCCCCCUUGCCUCCACCCCCAGACCUUACUGGCUGGGCUUGUCUUCAUCUUUACUCUUCUGUCCCUUCUCUAAUGGCUGCCUGCCUGGAGUCUGCAGCCCUGGCCUGCCCUGUCCUUCAUCUGCUCCCAACCCCCCACGUCUCUGGUCACUGUUCCUGUGAUGAGUCUUCUGCCCCUGCCCACUGCCUCCACUGCCAAGCCGCCCCUUGAUGAGUCUGGGCCAGCCAGAGCACACGCAACCACCUCUGCCUGUCCACCUUACAAAUGCCAGACCCGCUCACCUAAUGCCAAUGUGCAUUAUGUGUCAAAAGGAACAAAAAAUUUCUCAUUUCAAAAUUCAACAGAACAGUCGUGGAUGCUGUUAAAAAUGCAAGAUGUCCCUUCAGGAGAACCUGCCACAGAAUGACAGUACUUCCUGUUUGAGGAAAAGAAAGGCCAGGAAAUUGCAUGUGAAGUUUGGUGCGUUUGCCACCUCUGUGACCUCAGCUGUGGGCUCUUCCCCCAAGUGCAGAUCUUCAAUUCAACUCGGGCAGAGGGCAGGCCUCGGCCUCCCCACCUCCCAGCCCCUCUGUGUUCUGAUUAAAUGCAGUUUUUAGUGCA